rnacentral:rRNA from 1 species
GACAGAGGGUGCAAGCGUUAAUCGGAAUUACUGGGCGUAAAGCGUGCGUAGACGGUUAUUUAAGUCAGGUGUGAAAGCCCAGGGCUCAACCUUGGAAUUGCAUUUGAGACUGAAUAGCUAGGGUGCGGAAGAGGGAAGCGGAAUUUCCGGUGUAGCGGUGAAAUGCGUAGAUAUCGGAAGGAACACCAGUGGCGAAAGCGGCUUCCUGGUCCAGCACCGACGUUCAGGCACGAAAGCGUGGGGAGCAAACAGG